AAAAGAUAUAUCAAACAAUAAAAUGAGGGCUGGAAUGUAGCUCAGUGGUAAGGUGCUUUCCAAGCAUGCACAAGGCCGUGGGUCCAUUGUCAGUACC
rnacentral:miRNA from 1 species